GUCGCACAGUCAUCCAUCCAACAAACUCGCAGGCAGGAGCGGGGGACCCAGGUAAGUCGCCGCACCGGUCACCACCGGAGCGGCUCGGGGUGAAGCCGUACCCGUCAGGGCACGGCCGGGCACCUCCCCGCCCGAACCCGACAGCUCACCUCGCAGGCGUAAGGAGAGGGACA
rfam:Streptomyces coelicolor A3(2) complete genome